rnacentral:rRNA from 1 species
ACUCAAAGGAAUAGACGGGGGCCCGCACAAGCGGUGGAGCAUGUGGAUUAAUACGUCACUAACCGUAGAACCUUACCCAGGCUUGACAUCCCGGGAAGCCCUCUGAAAGGAGGGUGUGCCCCGCAAGGGGAGCCCGGAGACAGGUGUUGCAUGGCUGUCGUCAGCUCGUGUCGUGAGAUGUUGGGUUAAGUCCCGCAACGAGCGCAACCCUCACCGUAUGUUGCCAGCGUAAAGUCGGGCACUCUUACGGAACUGCCCGCGCAAGCGGGAGGAAGGUGGGGAUGACGUCAAGUCAGCAUGGCCCUUACGCCUGGGGCUUCACACAUGCUACAAUGGCCGGUACAGAGGGUCCCGAUACCGUGAGGUGGAGGCAAUCCCAAAAAGCCGGUCUCAGUUCGGAUCGCAGGCUGCAACUCGCCUGCGUGAAGUCGGAAUCGCUAGUAACCGCCGGUCAGCUAAACGGCGGUGAAUACGUUCCCGGGCCUUGCACACACCGCCCGU